GGUUGCAUAGUGCAGUGGAUUAGUGCGUCUGACUUCAAAUUAGAAGAUUAUGGGUUCGACUCCCAUUGUGGUCA
rfam:Ipomoea nil DNA, scaffold: scaffold1407, cultivar: Tokyo-kokei standard.